UGUGAUGGAUGCAUGGAAAGGAAAGAAUCCAUACAUUCUUCUUUCCAAAGUUGGGCCCUACAAACUGUUUUAUGCAGAUAUAGCAAGAACAGCCCCAAAUAUGCAGUUGGAGAGUGAGGUACAGGGUGUUUACAUAGGGGAUUUAUGCAGUUAUAUAUGCAGAAAACAGAUCCUAUUUGAUAUUGUAUGUCAUUUCAUCUCAGGUUAUUAAUGCCUACUUGGAGCUCCUGGUCAAAGAGCACAAUGGGCGAACAAGGGAAAAGGCAAUUGCUGUCGACAUGUUUGCCAUGACUGAUGUUUGGAAUAAUAAAAGCAAACUGCGUGAAGUAUGUGGAGAUUUUACAGUACAUAUAGACUCAAGUAUUUAUUUAUGCAUCUUUGAGUUAGUCCUUCCGAGCGAUGUAUAAAUAUACCUUUUCUACCCAUGUUUUUCUAAUUUUAGCUUGAUCCUGAUGUUCAAAUUAAUCAUUGGCAUUGUCAACAAGAACAACCACUGGAUGUUGAUGGUUAUGCUUCCAUCAGAGAAGAGGUCAUUGUUCCUUGAUCCUCUUGGGGAAAAGGCAAAGGACAUAAAACACUGUCAAGGUGUGACAAGGUAACUUGUAUAACACACACACAAACACCCUGUAAAACCAUGCUGUAAUUUAUCCUUUACAUAUAUCUAGGUACUUUAUUUCUGUUUUAUUAAGAGCAUUCACGAGACAAAGGGGACUCAAUAUCUCAAAAUGGUCAUGCACCUCUCUCCCUCACCCUCUGCAAAAAGAUGUGACAUCUUGUGGAGUAUUUGCAUUAAAGUUUGCAGAAUGCAUUUUAAAAGGGCAGAGCAUCUCCUUUGGAUCAUCAAAAAAACACAUUGAGGGACUAAGAAAGGUCAUAGCAACCACUCUACUGGAAAACAGCGGUAUGUUGGUGACAUGCUGGAGUAUUGCAUGGAUAGCUUAUUUUAGUUAAAUUGAUUAUUGAAGUCUUAUAACAAUAACAGAAACCUGAGCUGUUAUGGUUCUUUGAUUUUGUCAGAUGACCUCAGUGAAGUCUGCCACAUCUGUGGUAACGUGGAGGAUGGCCAGGAUGAGACAGUUUCCUGGAUAUCCUGUGACUCAUGUCAUCGGUGGUACCACCAGCGAUGUGCCAAAUGUAUCACUACUGACAGUGACUACAUGUGUGAGGCUUGUAGUGAUUUGGCUGUAGUUUGAAGUUGUGUGUGUGUGUGUGUUUGUAUGUGAUUGUGUGUGUGUGUGUGUGUGUCAGAACAAGUUCAGCUACAUCGUUGUCUACAUGUUGUGGUCAUUGGAUCGAUGAUGAUCCUUCAUCAGCUGCAUCGAAUGAACUCCAGCAUUUGAUGACACAGUUCAUCAUGGUUCAUCUGCCUCUUCUGUUUGUGUGUUUCUUUACAUGUG